UACGGAGGGGGCAAGCGUUGUUCGGAAUUACUGGGCGUAAAGGGCUCGUAGGCGGCCAACUAAGUCAGAUGUGAAAUCCCCAGGCUCAACCUGGGAACUGCGUCUGAUACUGGAUGGCUUGAAUUCGGGAGAGGGAUGCAGAAUUCCAGGUGUAGCGGUGAAAUGCGUAGAUAUCUGGAGGAACACCGGUGGCGAAGGCGGCAUCCUGGACCGGUAUUGACGCUGAGGCGCGAAAGCUAGGGGAGCAAACGGG
rnacentral:rRNA from 1 species